UUUUUUUUUUUUUUUUUUUUUUCCGGUUAUAUCACCGUUAUACCACUCCUAAAAAAUGUAAAUAUAAAACAAAAUUAUCAGUAUAUCAUAAAUAUUUUCCUUUUUUAUUAAUUAAAUAUGGAAAUAUAACAACAUAUUGCCCCAUCAUCCCAAAAAAUAGGUAAUUUCCUUUUCUUUAUUUGUUUAUUGUUUAAAAUUAUAAUCUUAUUUAUUUUUUUUUUAGAAGAAGAAGAUAAUCUUUACAGUUUCUCUUCAAUUCCUAUAUAUAUUUUUAUUAAUAAAAUAUAUCACUAUUACUAUAAAUCAAAUAUAGAAGUAGACAACUUCUCAUAAAUAGACAAUUAAUUAAAAUAUGAAUAGAAAAUAUUUUACUGUCAUUCCAAGGAUUCCAUAAUUCAACUUCUCUAAUUAGAGUUUAAAUUUUGUUCAGUUUGAAAAUUUUAAAUUUAAAUUCUAAAUUAUAAAAUUUAAAUAAAAUUUAAAAAAAAAAAAAUUCAAACUUUCAAUUGCCGAACUAGAAUCCUAACGGGUACUGACCCGCCCCUUUUUGACAGUCCAAAUUGAUGAUGAAUUGAUGAUCCAAUUGAUUCCAACGAAAAGCCAAAAAUGGUUUCACUAGAGUAAGGAGCGAGUCACUUGGUAUUCAAAUAUAUACUUGGUUUUGCAUUUCUUGUUUUCCAAUUCAAAAGUCUCGAACUUUCGCUUCUUACAAUUGUCUUUUCUGGGUCGGUCUCUGUCAUUGUGUUUGUUUAUAUACUCUUUGAGUAUCUUUGAGUAUCUGAGAAAAAGAAACGUAAAAUGGCGGGAAAAGAGGUUGAACAACACCUCAUAGAUGAUGGGAAUAAACUCCUGAAUCCACCAUUUUCCAUUGACGAGCUUCUUUCUAUUCUUGAAGUGAGCAAAACCCAUUUCUUUAUUUUGCAUUUAUUAUUAUUAUUAUUAUUAUAAUUAUUUGUGUACAGUGCACAUGUUUUUUUUUUUUAAUUGUUUAUGCAAUCUUUAUUUUUGGGUUAUGGUCAAGGCAUGAUAGGGUCUGUAAACUGUUCUUCUUUUUUGGGUUUUAUCUAUACCUUUAUUUUAUUUGAGUUCUGCUGCAAAUCAAUUAUUUGUACCCCUGGCUUUUGUUUUUAUUUGGAGGGGGUUGUUGAUUAGAAAAAUAAAAUAUGAAAUGUUGUUUCUUUUAUUCUUCCAGGAAUGGAACCCACUGGUAGUUUCUAGCAUUUUGAUGGUAUUUGUCCAAUGUUUUGGCGUUUUGGCUUGGUUCUUUUUAAACUAGUUUUACCAAUUCGAAUUAAUACGUCUGAUGAUAAGAAUUGGAGAAGGAAAUUAGGAAAAUGAGAUAUGUUGCUAACGAAUACCAUGGCAAUCUUAAUCUUGAAUGCUAUCUAAAUUUAAUGCAAUAUUUUCAUUGUGUCCAUGUGCCAGGAUUGGCAUUGGAUUUUGAGAAUUUCAAUUGUUUUUAUUAAAUCUUUUUUUUUUCCCCUUCAAUUGGUUUUGAUCCUGAUACAUGCAGUAUGACAGUAUAUUCUUCUUCUUCUUUUAUUAUGACUUAUAGAGACUUGAGGUUUCUCUAUCAAAGGUGACACAAUCACCAUCUGCAUCAAUGAUUGCUGCACUUUCACCUUCGAGGAAUGCUUUGGUUUCUGACAAACUUUUGAGACAUUCAGAUACAGAUGUAAAAGUUUCUGUUGCUGUUUGCAUUAGUGAGAUAAUGAGAAUAACAGCACCCAAUGCGCCUUAUGGUGAUGAGCAAAUGAAGGUGAUCUGAAUAUAUUAGAUAACAGUUUUUGUAUUUAUGUCUUAUCGUUAUGUCAUAUUUAUUUAUUUAUUUGUUUUAUUGUUGCACAGGAAGUAUUUCAUCUGAUUCUAGCUGUGUUUCAGAAACUAUCUCACAUGUCCAGCUGCUGUUACUCAAAGGUGGUAUCAGUCCUGGUUACCAUUGCAACAAUAAGGGCAAUUGUGGUGAUGGUGGACCUUGAGUGUCAUAGUUUGAUUGUUGAUAUGUUUCACCUUUUUCUGAGAGUUACCAGGUAACUUCCUUAAAAAUGAUCUGGUUUUGCUUCCUGCCUCUUGCAGGUUUAGCUAACUGUUUGAUGAUAAAUAUGGGUGAAGUUUUGUUUUAUUUUCGCAAUUUACUUUUCCAAAGUUUUUUGAAGUUAAACAGAGGGCAAAAUUAAAACCAUUCUGUAGGUCUGAAGUUUCGCAUGAUUUGGAAUUUUCUGACAUUUAAAAAUAAAGAUUCUGAAUUAAUUCUUUCAUUGACUUAUAGUCUUUGACAAAGUGUACAAUCUAUCUAUUUAUCAGUGCAUGUGUAAAAAUGGGAAAGCCUCUUUCUAUGUGCAUGUUAGUCAUAAGAUGGUAAAGCACAACUAGAAGUACGUAAUUCAGUUUUUUGCUUUUUUUGGCAAAUGCUUUCUUCAUAUCCCUAUAUGUUUUCGAGUUGUUGUGUCAACUAUAUCAUUGUUUGUUGUUGAUGUUAAUUGGUGGUUUGUAUAUUGUCUUCUUAUGUGUGUUAGUUUUAGGGGUUCAUCUUGUAAUUAUUCGAAUUUGUGGUUCUAGGCUGCUAUUUCAUUGCUACACAAGGCUGAAAUUGCAUGGAGUAAAUUGGGAUAAAGGACUAUAAUUAUACUCUUCUAUGUGCUAGGUAGAAUGUCAUAAAUUUGUAUUCAAGGUGCUAAUGAAAUUGGAUCAGCUGCGGCUGUAGGCAAUGUAUUUGUUAUAGGCAGUUUGUAGUGGGGGAUUUGUCCCUUGUCAUAUUAUUCUCACAACAGCAGACCCUUUAGGGGAAUUGGAAUUGGUAAAAAAUUUUUCACCAACAGUAAAUUAUCGUCUUAUCCAUUAACCCUGCUUUAGCAGCAACAUAGGAGGUUUCUUAGUAGUUUUGGCAUAUCUUAUGCACUUUUGUCCUCUUCUCUUCUUUCCUUGGAGAGAAGAGGAUGAUUUAAUGUACAUUUUUUUCACUAAGAAUCACUGCAAUCCUAAAAUGUAGAAACUCUACUGGUUCUGCCCAUUUCUUUUAAAAUCAUCUAUAGCAGCUAAGAACUUCAACUUGUUACAAUUAUAUCCAUACCCUAGAUUGUCUCUCUAAACUAUAUGCCCUUAAUUAUGGAAUGUGCUUAUAUGGAUGUGUUCAACACUUUUGAAGAAUAAAACAAAGCUAAAGCUGACAACAGUUUAGUAAUUCAAUUUUGCUAUUGGCCCUUACAAUUAGCUGUCAUUAUUACAGCACAGGCUGUAGAAAAAAAAAAAAAAAAAUUCUAAUUCACAUCAAAACUGUUAUAAAUAACUGAAUUCAUGGUCACUAUUGAUAAUUAUAGAAUUGGCGACUACAAUGUUUUUUUCAAAAGAUGCAUAUAGUUUUAGAUUUUUCUCAUCAUAAAUCUUUUAUUUAUUUAUUUUUUCAGUAUGAUUUGUCUUAGUUAUAUUUUUUGUUCAAUCUAAAUCUUGGAAUUGGAAAGAUGAUGUAUAAGGUUCCUUUGGUUGAGAAUGGAAUGAAUGCUUUGAGUUGAUUAUGUUGUCAUAUUUUAUCUUUUAAGAAAUCAAUAACAUUUUCUUCUUUUAUGAUCAGGAUGCUUUUGCUAUCAGUUAUCUUUAUUUUGGGCUUAGAAUUGUUAUUGACUCUGUUCUUACUUUGUAUUUCCAACCCCUUCUAACCCCUUUCAGCUUUUCUGAUUAACUAAUGAGUGAAUGGUAUAUGGCUUGUGAGUGUUCAAUAUGAAUAUGUUUUCUCUUUUAAGGUCAAACAGCUCAGAUGUUGUAUUAUCUGCCAUGGUGUCAACAAUGACCAUUGCCAUAUUGGAAAGUGAUGAGAUUUCUUUGGAGAUUCUAUUCCCCCUUUUAGCUAGUGUGAGAAAGGAAAAUCAGGUAAUUAAUUUUUUUUCUCUGACUACAGUCUUGAAUUCCACUUUAACUGUAAGUAAUGAUGCUAGUUAGGAGUUUUGUUUUUUGUUUUUUCUCAGAAUGUUUUCUCAACUUCCUGGAAGUUGGGGAAGGAAGUUAUUGGAAAUUGUGCUGCAAAGAUUCAGCCUUAUGUUUUGAAAGCAGUGAACAGCUUAGGAGUUUCUGUUGACAGUUAUGAUGAAGUAAUUGCUUCUAUUUGCCGCAAUGCAACUGACAAUGUCAAGUCUUUUUAUGCCCCUGAUUCUGAGAAACAUUUGGUUAGUAUGGAAACGAAUUCUGCAUUGGUUUGAUUGUUUUGCUAGUCUGAUCCAAACCUUUUUGCCGAUUCUGAAUCCUGGCAUGAAUUUACUAGAUAACAGUGUGGGUACUGGGGCUUUUCCCAAGAUUUAUUUGGCAUUCUCUUUGUUCAUUGAAAUGUUUCAUUUUUCCUUUUAUUUGUAAUAGGAAAUUGUGAAUAUAUGGAGUUCAUGCCUUGUGUUUCUUAUUUGUCCUUUCCUGAAAAUAUCAUUUCCCUAAGUAGCACCCAUAUUAUGAAGACCCACAUCAAUUAUAUAUAGCAUAUCAAUUAGCAUAUUAACUUCUGCAGGAACAAGAAGUCCCCAUGACAAUAUCACUUAAGCAAAAUCUGCAAUGCCAAUGAACACACAUUUGACUCAUGUUUUAAGUGAUUUUCUCUAUCUGAUGCAUACUAAAACAGAUUACUGAUGAAAGAUCAGCUAUCCAGUGUAGGGGUGGGAAGAAGACUAGGUGCAAAACUAUCUCUGAAAAUUUUGGAACUGAAGAAACUAAUGACAAGGUAACUGAAUUUGAUUUCAAAUCUUCUUGAUUGUUGUUCUAUUUAUAUGAGUGGUAUUUGUUAUCUUAUUAUGUUUUUAUUGAAGAGAUUAUAUUGGCCAUAGCAGUGCUUCCGUUUCUGGAAACCAUCUCCACCCAAAUCAUGCCACUAACUUUGCAAUGGUUUUAGUUGAUGAAUAAGUUAGAUGCUUUGUUGAUUGAAAAAUUCAUGGUAAUGGAGAAGAAUGUGUUUCGCAUAAUUUUUAGAAGUAAUGGUAUAGAAUAUAUAAAUGCAUGUGGGUAAUUCCUUAUUGGUUAACUACAAAGCAAGUAAAUGGCUUACAAGAAGCAGGGAGGCUCUACCAAAAUGGUUUAGGCAAUUUUGUACCAAAGAUAAUUCCAACUCACUAUAAACACAAUUUUUAAAUAAACAUUACUAAUGAAUUUGAUUAAUUGCUCCUAGGACCUAGUUUUGACAUGGUAUUGAAACUUGGGACCUAUACCCAUUACCAGUGAAAUCUUUUGGGUGGGCCUGUGCUGAGGCCUACAUCCACUUGAGUCAUACCUAGGUGGAUGCAUAUUGGCCAUCAUAUACUUGGUCAAGUAACAACUAAGUUUUAUCCAAUUAUCUUACCUGUCUGCUACUUGAGAGUGGAGUUUUGGAAUAUAUAAAUGCGUGGAUAAUCCCAUAUGUUUUAAUUACAAAUAGACUAAAUGGCUUAUGGUGAGGAGGGAAACCCAACCAAACUGGCUUAGGUCAUUUAGUGUUAAAGUAAGCCCCACUCACUAUAAGCCCAAUUAUUAAGUAAAUAUUACUAACGAAUUUGAUUAAUGCUCCUAGGAUCCAGAUUUAACAGGUAACAUUAAAUUAGAAAGUCUUGGAAUCAUCUUUGAUGCAGUCUAUCCUAUGUAGACUAAAAUUUAAUAUCAAGAGACUCGAAUGAAUAGGGGGAAAAAAAAGAAAGCAAAGCUUGUCUAGAUGUAGGCGUAAGGUAUGAUAGAAUUGCUUGUGUUGAAUGGUUAAGAACUGCAUCAGAUAUGUUCUAUUAAAAAGAAAUGUUCGUUAAAGAUGUAAAUGUGGAGAUUAGUUUCAAACAUACAGCAUUGUUGUGACAGAUCAUGAUGGCUACAUAGAAUUAAAUAGGUUUCAUGGUCCUUUAUCCCCAUUCUUCACCUCUCCUCCAACCCGAGUAGAGUAUAAUGAUAUAGAAGAUAUAUUGAUAAUUAUCUUGGCAUGUUUAUAAAUAAUUCCACAUUUCAGUUGAUUAAAUUGAAUCAUUUAGUCUGUUGUCUGAUGCUUUUGCUGUUUCUGAUGUGAAUGCAAUUAAUCCUCAAGUGACACGUAUAUUAACAGGGACAAUCAGUAGAGAUUCUAAGUGCUGGUUCUUCUUUUAAACUGUAAGUUUUGCUUUUGAUAUCUAUUAACUUCUCUUGCGGGAGCAUGUACCAUUUGUUCUGUUGCUUGUAAAGUUUCUUGAUAAUUUCAUAAUUAAUUUUUUGACAUGUCAGUCUCUAUAUUUCCCUUUAAUCACAUCCAUUUAUGCAAAAUAUUCAUCUUAGUUUACAGGCCAGGUCAAUUUAGUUGACACACCAAGUUGCUUCCAGCUUCAGCCCUUAAACAAUGAUUAAUUUUUUGGAAGGCAAAUCAGAUAUAAGUAAUUUCAGUUUCUAGCCAAGUAUGGUAUAAAGACAACUGGUUAUUUACACAGUUCUCCAACUAUCAUGUUACCACAGAUAUUAGAAGCAAUCCAGAGAAAGUCUGGCGAAAUACUUGUCCAUAGAUGAACCAUCUCUAACAUUGCACUAAAAAGAUUUUUGUUCCUGUUGACGAGAAACAAAUAAGAAAAGAAAUGGUGUUAUGCAGUUGAUGCCCUAUGUUUCAUUGAGAUUCUGAUGUGGUUAAGCUAUCCCAUGAAAGCUUUUAGUGGUGAUUAAUUAGGGCUUUCUAUGUGACCUUUGUCUUAAAUAGUAGCUUUCUCUGUGACAAAAAUCUGAAAUUUCCAUGUCAUACUUUCUGUCAUCAUAUAUCGAGUACUUUGCAUCUUUUACUAAAACUGUAGCAAUGGAGAAAUACCCGUGACUUCUUUUUCAAUAUUUAGGCAUUUUCACUGUAAGAGAAAACAGUCAGUCUUGGUUGUGAUAGGAGAUGGGCAUUUUUUCUAUACUUAACAAGUCCUAUCUUAUGUAGUCACAUUGAAUGGCUAGUUCCUUCUAUAUAUACGCCUUGCCUUCAUAUUUUUCUCGUGUUUUUAUUUACUUGCAGCUUAACGAACUUUUUUUUUUGCAGGCAUUUGCAACAACCAGCUACUUCCACCAAGACUUGUUCAGACCAAUGUGUAAUUCCAUGGAGUUGUGGAAAGCAAAAUCAGAACCAAGAGAUACAUAUCCCAUCUUCCGAAGAUUCAUUUCCAUCCAAUAGUGGAGCAGCUAUUAUAUGCAGUGAAAUGACAUUAGUGGAAGGCUAUGAAGUCAAGGCUAGCGUUGCACCUGUACUUAGAGCUAUAUUUGCCAAGUAUGGUGAUAUCGCUGCUAACUGCCAGUACAAGUCACCAUCCGAUAGGGCUAGUUUGCUUGAAAUUGUAUCUGAUGUUGUUCACCGACUGCAAAGCAGUGACAUUCCGCUCACACUCUCUGAGAUUAGAGUCCUCCAAAAUGAAAUGAAGGAUUUGGAGUCUACAAGGCUUAAGCUUUCAUGGCUAACCCAGCCAUUAGAAAAGAUUUCUGAAGUUGAAAAAAUUGCUGAGAUGCGUUCUAUGCUCAAGUCGGUGAAAGCAAAUAGCAUGAUGGUGAUAAAAGCAGCAACUAAGGAGUUGGAAGAGGCACUUAUGGAGCUAGUGGCAUUGCAGAAGCGGAUGGGGGAGGCUGAAAAGCGUAUAAACGCAAUGAAGCUUGUACUGCAAAAGGUUGAUGAUGCCAUUAGAGAGGCUGAAGAUCAGGAGCGCCUCUGGCUAAGACAGAUAAAUGAGCUUCCAUAGUAUGUUUUAUCUGCUGAAACAAAUUAAUGGGCACAUGUUUUUUAGACACUUAGAAGCCUAAUGUUCAUCAACUACAUUUUAGUAACCACACAAUUCAACUGAGGUGUGUAGGCUUUUGUAUUUGUUGGAGCUGGUUGUUCUGUGUGGUUCUUUUUUUCAUGCUAGAUGAAAAUUCAUUUUUCCUAUGUUGAUGCUUUCUUUUUCUACCUAUACUAAGGUUUUCUUAUAGCACUUUGAUGUUGCUUAAAUAGCUAUAAGACAUUCUGAUAGGUCAAUUUUGUCCAAACUUACAUGCAUCUAAAUUUAUUUAGAGAUAUUAGUUAUUCGAUUAUUAACUGUAUUUUUUAUGAGAAAGUUGGAAUCUUUAGCAGUUUCUAUGUAUUAAAAAAACAAAGUUUACUCCCUAAGGUAUAUUUGCACUUUUCGCAUUUUUUAAGAAAAUUAUUUAAUUUAUUAUAAAUUAUUGAAUAAAUUGACUAUAUUACCAUUAUUUAUAAUAAAGAGAUAUUUUUGAAAAUUAUAACCAUUAAUGUUAGUCAUUUGCAAGGGGUAGGGUAAAAUAGAGAAAAAUUGUUUUUUCUUAAAAUUGAUAAACUUGACACUUAUUUAUAUAUAUAUAUAUAUAUAUAUAUAUAUAUAUAUAUAUACACUCUGGAUUAUAAUAGAUAUAUAAUGCUUUUACAACUGUGACAAUGAUUUGUUGACAAAGUUAAAAUAUAACAUGUUGAUGGAAAAGUAAGUGGCUUUGAUUUCUAUAAAUGUGAAAAUAUAAUUUCGAUAUUUAGAGAUUGUAUUUAGUACACAAAUUAAAAACCUUUAUACUCUACAAUGCAGCAGAAAAUUAGACCCUGAAAAGCUUAUACUCACAAUAAAAUUUAAUGUCGGAAAUACUUAGAAUAAAAUAGCGGGAUUUUAUUUAGUCGUUUCAAUUAUAUCAUAAUAUGCAAAAUAAUAACUUGAUUCAACCUUUUUCUAUAAGUAACAAAUAUAUGUUUUCUAGUGAUAGUAGUUUAUUAAUUAUUUUUUUUCCCCUUUUUCUGAAUCACGUGUUUGUUGUAUAAUUAUUAAUAAAAAUAAUGAUUAAUUAAUUAACAAAUAAACUAAGUCUUUAUUUUUCUUUUAUGGUAGACAAUUUUGCAAAUAUGACAAAUAUACUCCCAAUAUAUAUUUAUAUAUAUAUGGAAAUGACAUCCUAACCUACCCGGAGAGUCCCAAUUAAGCAUCUCUUCUUAAUUUCUUUUGUUAAAAUUAAUUUCGCUUCCUUGUCAACUUGUUAGGUAUAUUUCUGAUCAAGCUUCAGACUUAAUUUAAUUUUAUUAACUUAAAUUUCUCAUAUAUAUAUACAUAAUUGCAAUCCCUGUGAUUGGACACGAAAUUAGUAUGAAGUGUUUGACGUGUAGGCAUGGCCAUAGUGAGAAUAACAAACCAUGAAAGAUAGUAAAAUAAUAAGCACCAUGGAACAAUGGUAGAAGAUUCAAAUAAUAGAAACGUGACCGCUUACAACUCUAUGAUCUAUGUUUAGUGAACGUUAGAAAAAUGAAAAUAAAAAUAAUUGGUUGAAAAGUUGCCAGCAAGACAGCAAAUUUCCCAUACCUUUGCCAACCUCAACAAAUGCAAUCAUAUUUUUCUGGUACGUGAGAGUUAAAAAUGAUGUAAGAGUUUCAAACUAUAGUUCUCUAUAUUUUAAAUUUUUUGCUUCAUUUACAGAUGUAAAGGGUUUCCUCUUUAUUAUAUUCUAUUAUUAAUAUUAGGGUAAAUAACUAUUUAGUCCCUCAAUUUUAGUUAUAUUUUAUUACUCCUUCCUCCAUUUUUAAUGUAACAUUACUAUUUAGUGCAUCACAUUCAAUAUUGAAUUACUAUUUAGUUCCUUAUCUAAGAUAAAAAUGAUGCUUUUUGGAUAGAAUAACUAAAAAGUUUUAACGGUUUUAAACUUUAGAGACUAAUUACUGUUUUUUUUCCUAAAUAAAAGAGAUAAAAAUAUAAUAAUGACUAAAAUUGAGAGGCUACAUAGUUAUUUACCCAUAACACCGUAUUAAACUCCAAGUGUUCAAAAAAAAAAAAAAAAAAGAACCGUAAAAUUUGGAAAAUUUGAAAACUUUCAAUAAAAUAUUCUAUUGGUCAUUUUUUAGAUUAUCGGUGUUUUCAGUCUUAUAUUGUAAGGGAAGAUAUUAAACACAAUGGCACUGAGCUUUUAUUCUGAGUAUCGCAAGAAAUUUAUUAUACCACUUAUUUCUAGAAAGCGUCUCCUUAAUUACUACUAAUUAAGCACAAAUUAGUUAAAGAGAGCUUUAUUAUGCAAAUGCAGUAAUAAAAAUAACCACCCUAAAUUAAUAUAUUAGGGGUAUAUGAUUACAACAUGUGAUCAAUUAAAUUAAAAGGCAAACACUUGGACAUCUUAUGUGUUUUUUAGGUUCAUUGUUAUCACUAUUUUUUUUUAAUAACGGAAAGGGGGUUGUGGACCUGUUCCCUAACUUGUGGUAGCUAAAUCCAACCUUCUUAGGAUUGAAUCCUAACAGAGUCUUCAGGCUGUUCUGGGAUUGGAAGGUGACCCCUUUCUUGCAAGCUUUUAACAGUUUCAUAUAGGCAUUGCUUC
rnacentral:lncRNA from 1 species